rnacentral:rRNA from 1 species
UGGGGAAUAUUGGACAAUGGGCGAAAGCCUGAUCCAGCCAUGCCGCGUGUGUGAAGAAGGUCUUCGGAUUGUAAAGCACUUUAAGUUGGGAGGAAGGGCAUUUACCUAAUACGUAAGUGUUUUGACGUUACCGACAGAAUAAGCACCGGCUAACUCUGUGCCAGCAGCCGCGGUAAUACAGAGGGUGCGAGCGUUAAUCGGAAUUACUGGGCGUAAAGCGCGCGUAGGCGGUUUGUUAAGUCGGAUGUGAAAUCCCCGGGCUCAACCUGGGAAUUGCAUUCGAUACUGGCAAGCUAGAGUAUGGGAGAGGAAGGUAGAAUUCCAGGUGUAGCGGUGAAAUGCGUAGAUAUAGGAAGGAACACCAGUGGCGAAGGCGACCACCUGGACUGAUACUGACACUGAGGUGCGAAAGCGUGGGGAGCAAACAGGAUUAGAUACCCCCGUAGUCCCUGAGCGGGCUGGCAAGGCGCAU